rnacentral:rRNA from 1 species
AUUGAACGCUGGCGGCACGCCUAACACAUGCAAGUCGAGCGGUAACAUGCUUAGUAGCAAUACUAAGUGAUGACGAGCGGCGGACGGGUGAGGAACACGUAGGAACCUGCCCAAAAGUGGGGGAUAACUAAGGGAAACUUUAGCUAAUACCGCAUAAUUCUCUGAGGAGAAAAGUUGCCCGUAAGGGUAGCGCUUUUGGAGGGGCCUGCGUCCGAUUAGUUAGUUGGUGAGGUAAUGGCUCACCAAGACUGUGAUCGGUAACUGGUCUGAGAGGACGACCAGUCACACUGGGACUGAGACACGGCCCAGACUCCUACGGGAGGCAGCAGUGGGGAAUCUUGGACAAUGGGGGCAACCCUGAUCCAGCGAUGCCGCGUGGGUGAAGAAGGCCUUCGGGUUGUAAAGCCCUUUAGGCUGGGAAGAAGAGUGUGGGAUGAAUAAUCCUGUACUUUGACGGUACCAGCAGAAUAAGCACCGGCAAACUCUGUGUCAGCCGCCGCGGUAA